rnacentral:rRNA from 1 species
CCUACGGGUGGCUGCAGUGGGGAAUAUUGCACAAUGGGCGCAAGCCUGAUGCAGCCAUGCCGCGUGUGUGAAGAAGGCCUUCGGGUUGUAAAGCACUUUCAGCGGGGAGGAAGGCGUUAAGGUUAAUAACCUUGUCGAUUGACGUUACCCGCAGAAGAAGCACCGGCUAACUCCGUGCCAGCAGCCGCGGUAAUACGGAGGGUGCAAGCGUUAAUCGGAAUUACUGGGCGUAAAGCGCACGCAGGCGGUCUGUCAAGUCGGAUGUGAAAUCCCCGGGCUCAACCUGGGAACUGCAUUCGAAACUGGCAGGCUAGAGUCUUGUAGAGGGGGGUAGAAUUCCAGGUGUAGCGGUGAAAUGCGUAGAGACCUGGAGGAAUACCGGUGGCGAAGGCGGCCCCCUGGACAAAGACUGACGCUCAGGUGCGAAAGCGUGGGGAGCAAACAGGAUUAGAUACCCCAGUAGUC